UAACCCCCCCACUAUACGCUUGUGUUGACUAGGCGACACACGACAGGUUCAUUCUCCACUACUGUAGACAGCUAGCUAUAUUGUAAACGAAUAAAAAAAACAUAUAAUACUGAUAACAAACGGCAGUGCGUUUAAUAAAAAAAGGAAAGAAAACGAAAAGGACGCAGCAGAGAAGCUGGAACAAGUGUUCAGGCAACUUGUCCAGUCAUCUAUCCAUCCACAUAAAUGCACUGUGGUUACAUUAUUUGGGAGAAGAAGUCCCCCUUCCCUUCCUCCACCCCCUUCCCUCUCCACCCUAUUACUGAGAAAGAGAGAACCAGAUCCAGGAGGGACAGUAAAGGCAGAUGAACGGACAGUCUGCUGCUCACAACGCCACACAGACAGGAAAGACAAAGUAGAUCUGUGGAAAGUUGCAUCAGGCUUUGCUGGCAAGUCCCAGAGGCCUGGCGGAGGAAACGUCUGGUCCACACAUCCCUGACAUGCCAUCACUCCCCAAUGAUGGAGAUGAUCAAAAGUCGUCCCCCGUGAACUUGCCAUCUGCACUGUCCAAUCAGAAUGGUGUAAAGAGGAAAGUGCGCACUAAGAAGAAGAAGGGCAUCAUCACUGCCAACGUGGCAGGAACAAAAUAUGAGAUUGUUCGUAUUGUUGUUGGGGAGAUGGCUUUCCACAAAACCAGAGACGAGGACGAAACAGCUAACCUCAUCUGGAACGACUCGGCCGUACAGCAUGAGAAAAUCGCAGAGCUCAGGAACUACCAGCGAAUAAACCACUUUCCGGGAAUGGGAGAGAUCUGUCGGAAAGACUGUUUGGCAAGAAACAUGUCCAAGAUGAUUAAAAGCCAGCCUCAGGAAUACAGCUUCAUUCCCAAAACUUGGAUCUUCCCGGCGGAGUACACUCAGUUCCAGAACUACGUGAAGGAGCUUAGACGCAAACGGAAGCAAAAGACGUUUAUCGUCAAACCGGCAAACGGUGCAAUGGGUCAUGGUAUAUCUUUGAUUCGGAAUUGCGAAAAGCUCCCGGCGCAAGACCACUUCAUUGUGCAGGAAUACUUGGACAAGCCGUUUUUAAUGGAGGGAUACAAGUUUGACCUGCGCAUUUACAUCCUGGUCACUUCCUGUGACCCUCUAAGGAUCUUCCUCUACAAUGACGGCUUGGUGCGGAUGGGGACGGAGAAGUAUCAUACGCCUAACGAGUCCAACCUGAGUCAGCUAUACAUGCACCUGACGAAUUACUCAGUAAACAAACACAACGAGAACUUUGAGCGCGAUGAGACCGUGGACAAAGGCAGCAAGAGAUCCAUCGGCUGGUUCACCGAGUAUCUCCGCAUCAACAACUACGACGUCGGCAAAUUCUGGGGAGACGUUUCCGAGCUGGUGGUGAAGACGCUGAUUGUGGCCGAGCCUCAUGUGCUCCAUGCAUACCGUAUGUGUCGCCCAGGACAACCGCCAGGGAGUGACAGCGUUUGCUUCGAGGUCCUCGGCUUCGACAUCAUUCUGGACCGCAAGCUCAAGCCGUGGCUGUUGGAGAUCAAUCGAGCUCCGAGUUUUGGGACAGAUCAGAAGAUUGAUUAUGACGUGAAGAGGGGGGUCUUGCUCAAUGCCCUGAAACUGUUGAACAUCAGAGCAAGUGAUAAGCGACGAAACCUGGCUCAGCAGAAGGCCGAGGCACAGCGGCGCCUCUACGGCCAGGGCACCAUGAAGAAACUUGCAGCAGGUUCCUCCGAGUGGGAAAAACAGCGCCUCACCCUGGAGCGGAGGAAAGAAGAGCUGAAAGAGAGGCUGGCCCAGGUUCGCAAACAGAUCUCCAGGGAGGAGUACGAAAAGCGUCAUCUGGGGAACUACAGACGUAUUUACCCCCCAGAUGACAAGCUGCUCUUGGAGAAGUAUGAGGGCCUCCUCUCGGUUGCCUUUCAGACGUUCCUCGCUGGGCGAGCAGCCUCACUUCAAAAGGAAAUGAAUAAUCCUCUGAAACGAAUGAAGGAAGAGGACAUCUUGGAUCUGCUGGAGCAGUGUGAGUUGGACGAUGAGAAACUGAUGGGAAAGACAUCCAGGCAGAGAGGAGUGAAGGCCUUGUCCUCCAUGCCUGAAAGCGCCCAGAUGCCCAGGAGGCACAGGGACUAUGAAGACAGCUCAGGCAGCUGCAACAGUAGCAGAACGUCAGGCUCAAACACAGAUGAAGAGGAAGAGAGCACCAAUGACCUCCAGGAGAAGAAGGUCUCCAUUGAAGUUGGGGAGAGCAGACAGAAAGCCUCAGAGCGUUCCAGCCGAGUGCACUGGAAGCCUUCUCCCAAACCAGAGAAAUUGGGCUCAGUUUCCUCACCAGCGCUGUCAGGACUCAUCCGCCGCUCUGUCUCUUGCCCACGCUCCAUCGCUUCAUUUAGUGGACAAUCACCCAGCACUGACAGUAGAAGCACCUCGAACAAGAGUAUGCCCCAGAUGGGAAGCACUGCUGUGGCAUCAGCCCAUGCAGGAGCUUUAGCUACGCCAACAUCGUUGGUUCGACCCCACACAGCUCUGCGCUCACACUCUCUUAGCCGCAACAGCUCUGCCCACAGAAUGCCCCACAGCAGCAGCCUGGGCACUAUCCAUUCCACCUCGGGAGAGUCCCUGCUGAACGCGAGGAGCAAGGAGCAGGAGGCGGAGCUGACGCGGCAGACGCUGGCCGCGCUGGGGGAGUUGCACAUCCGAUUCCCAGGGAAGAGUGAGGAAGAAGCGGAGGCCGUGCUGGACGAGAUUUUAAACAACUGGAAAUAUCAUAAACCAAAAGUGGCUUCUUAUUGGCUUGUGAAGUUAGAUGCCACCAAACAAAGAAAGGUCCUGGACAUCGUCCGCACAAAUGUUCGUUCAUUGCUCCAGAGGAUCUGGAGGGAGCCUGACAUUGACAGUUUACGUCUCUACCGCCUUUUUAACCGUGUCUUCAGCCGCCUGCUCUGGAGCCAUGGUCAAGGCCUGUGGAACUGUUUCUGCAGCUCGGGCAGGUCAUCAUGGGAGAGCAUCUUCAGCAAGAGCAGCGAUGUGGUGACACCACAGGAGUUGCAGUGCUGCCAGCGCUUGGUGCAGCUGUGCCGUGACUGCCUGCUCAUAGUUUACAAGUUCGUAGUGGAGUCGCGCGGGUCGCUGACCGGAUUCAACCCGGAGUGGGAUGACCCCAGGUAUCUGGUGCCAGUGACCUCCCAGUUCAUCAUCAAGUGGCCUUCCUCCAGCUCAAGCCGGAACGUGGCCUCUCGUAGUCUUUUCACCACCCGCAUGGGCCACUUCUAAUCCACCUUGGACACUCGCCGCCUCCUGGGGAGGAAAGGGGCAAAGAUGCCUCCCCUCCUUGGGGAUAAGCUAACUCUGAAAGCAUGCAAAAAGGGGUUUUGCCAGUCCGCUUUUUUAGAUGUAGUCGUUGGUACAUCGGAGGCAGACGUUGGGCAGUCCCUCCCUUGAGUUCGGCUUGUGCCCGUGGAUCUCGUGUAAAAAAAAAAAUUGCUGUUCAGUUAUAUCCUUUAUUAUACUGUAAAAUAUGAUUCCCCAUCAUGGAUUUAUGUCCAGGACUUGCAAAACAAUUCUGUCAAUAACAGUGAAUGUUUCAGUGAAAUUUAGAUGGAAUGGGAUUUGUGUUUAUGCUCAUUGUUUAAGAAAGAUAACAUACAAUGCUGUUUUUCUUUUUCGCUGCUUGCAAUGUUUGCCAAUGGCCGGUGCUGUUUUUCUUACAUGAUUUUAUUACAGUUUGCCACAGUAUGUAGUAGUAAGAAGAAUUUAGGGGUACAGAAAGGUUCUGUCAAACUACUUGAAGAAUGAAGGAAGGUCUUCUGAAAACAUGCCUCUCAGAGAAGAGAGUACAAUUCUGCACUGCUGCAGCCGACAUACACAUGUUUAUGCCUACACUUCAGAAUGAGAUGUUUUCAGCUGACGAAGGGAAAAUCACUGCACAUCAGAAAUACUUGAAUUUAUUUAUGCUAUUUAUUUUAUUUGAAAUGUUUUCAUUUACAUGCACUACUAACUUAAGUGUUUUAAAGCAUAGUUUCAUUUUGUGUAAAUUGUAUGUAUUAUGUUUUUUUAUUUAUUAGGUUUUACUCAUUAGGGUUUUCUGUGAUAUACUAAAGGUAUGAGAAUGAGUUUUAAAGUAACAUAGGUCUAUGCUAAACUGCCAUGUUUGUGUUUUAGCAGCAAUGCCCUGCAUUUUCUCAGCCUGUAUGCAAGUGCCAGUGCAGAUUAUGGCGUGCCAAGUCUAAGCACAACCAGGAAUGUGUUAAUGGCUUCUAAAUUGAGGCUCAUGCAUUCUUACUUGCCACUGCUACAACUGUCUUUGGACCUCGUGCCAAUCAGUAAAUCUGGCCAGCCUCCACUGGAAGUCAAAAAUUAGGUUAAGCUCCGCUCAGAGUCAGAAGAUUUGAAGCUUUUUGGGCUCUGGUUCAAGACUGCCAAGCAGAGGUUCUGGAAAUCGGGAAGCCGAUUAAGUUCAACAGAGGCAAAAGGAAUUUAAAGGAAUCACUCUGGAGAUAGCUGCCUGCGGAGGAUGAGGAGGAUGUGAUCACUCUACAUGCCAUCAGACCUCUUAUUCACUUUCCACCUUCAUUUGAUCCAAUGGGUUGGGACUAAAAUAUUGCGCAGGCUUAUACCUUGGGAGGAUUUUCAACCUUAAUUCAAUUUUUGAUUCCAGUGAAGGACUCUGUUUAACAACAACCACAAAAAAAAAAAAAACGCUUGUUGUUUGCUGUAUAUUAGGUCAGAAGCUGAGAUUUUUUUUUUUUUUUCCUUUUAUCUAGCUUCAUUUAUCAAGCUGGAUACGAACAGAUUUAUUUUAUUCGGAAAUUGUCCGCAGGUGCAUUUACAUAAGAAGUGUAGUAUUCAUGAAAAUCCAGUUAGUAUAAAAUAAAAAUAAUGAAAAAAAAAUUGUAACCAACUACAGCUUUUGAGUUUGUAUGAGGAGACUCACUAACGUAAACGCUGACUGAUAGGCUUCAAGAUCAAAUAAUUGGCCUGGGGUACUGCAAUUUUAUAUACAGAUUACGUUGUCAAGUUUAAAAAGCUUAUUUAUUUAAAUAGCAAACAUUAUGAAACAGUCAUACUAUGGCUUCAACUCAUGUAAUCCAGAAGAAAUCUGUAAAUGAAAUAGAAAUAAGACUUGCUAUUCAAUUAAGACAAAACAAAUAUAAAAGUAGGAAGAGUUACUUUGCGUCCUUGGUGGUGCAUAGGCUGCAGUGACUGAGGUGUUACUGGAUUUAGUGCAUUCGUCUUUGAGGUUCUGCUUCACCGUUUUAUUUUUCAGCUCUCUGUGACCUUUGGCUAUUUGAGUUUGGUGGCACCUUUAAUGUGUCCUGAACUCGCUUUGUGCCUUAUACAUGAUGGCUAAUGAUCAGUAUACAUGUGCAAGUAUGAAGAAAAUUAGCUGGUAAGAAUCUGGUGGGGAUUUUUUGUUUCAUGGCCUAUGAAAACAUAUCCAAACAAUUUUACUAAAUGGCUGAUAAAUGGGGCUCGCUGUAUCCAACCUCUUGCCUUGAAAUAAAAGACACUCAGUGAAAUCACUUGCUUGUUAACAUUGUAUUAACCUGGCUAAUGUCAGGUUAUUUGCCAGUCCAUCGAGGAUUUAAUGAGAUAAAAUGGAUUUGAUCAUGAAACAAGCAGAAAGUCACUUCCCUUUCCCCUUGUGAUUUAGCCAUAAUACUGUGGCUGUAUUUAAGUUCUGCAGAAUUGCUUGAUGCUGAUGGAUUUAUGCUGAGAAGCGUUACGCCUGCUGGAGAGAACUUCCAAAACAUGUUUUCAUGUUUCCACAGGGGGACAUUGCUCUUCCCCUGCAACCUUUCUUAAUGUUCUCUUAACAUUCUUAGAGCCUGUAUUUCUUACAACACUGUCAUUAGCGAUAUGAGAUAUGCAGUCCAAAGGCAUUCUGUUGCUUUAUGAGUGUGUUUUUUUGUUUUUUUUUUCCGUUUUGUUGUACGAGUCUCUCAAGGCAAAGUUCUGAUGUAAAUCUAAAUAUCUGGUGAACGUGUGGUGUUUUUUUUUGUGUGUGUUCUUUUAAAUGCACUUAUUAAAUUAGUCAGAAAACUGUGUUCAGGGGAAUAUAAUAGCAUAUACUUAUUUUUAUACAUAUAAUUAUAUUUAUUCUAAUUCUAAUUAGCAACUCCCGUGAAAGCUAUUACAGCCUUUUUCUUUCGGUUCAUUUCUUUUACACUAUAUGAUGUUGACACGACUCCAAGAUAGUCUUGUCUUUGAUGCACGAUGAUCAGAGAGAUCGUAAUAAACACUGAAGCGCAAAACGCAAACCAUUCUAUAGUCGUUCAAUAUUAGCCUCAGUUUUCAUGGAAAAUCAACCACACGCUGGUACUGAUACUUAAGAGAUUUCACAUCUCGAUGAAAACGCAGCACACUCCGGAUGAACUGGGUUGUGGUUGAGUUAAGAAAAUUAUUUUUAAGGCCUCUACCGAUAGAACUGGUCUUAUACUUCUUCAGAGUAAAUCCCCUGCUCCUACUAGGCUCUGAAGUUUGAGUCUCUAGCCUGUGUUUGAGUAAAAAUCUCAGGGGGAACUCCGUGUAUAAAGAAGUCAUAAAUAAUACUCUUAUGAUAAGAGUUCCUGAAUGUGUUCAGUACGUGCUUGGGAGGGGGGAAAAAGAAUGUACAUGGUCAAGUGUUCAGUAGCUGCGACAGUCAGCCGAGACAGUCAGACAGGUGGCCUCCUACCCGCAUAGCUCCAAAAAGAUUCUGUCUCCAUCCGAACACCCAGGCAGCUAUCUUUUAUAUCCUCUUGUCUCCGUCUCUACGGUCAGAUCGUCUGCCUUAUCAAUUAAGCCGACACCAGAGAGAGGUCAUAAAAAAAGCCUUUCAGAAGAAUCCGAACAUGAUCGAGUUUAAGAUUUAUACAAAGUGAGGCUCUAACAAAUGCGUAAGUCAUUUUGUAUCAAUAUCAGUCCAGCUGUUUUUUUUUAAUGAUCACACCGUUAAUUUUCAACAUGAAUGUGAUGUUUUCUAGGCUACUGGUGUAAAGGUUAGUUGAGAUUGAGCUGCAGUUUAGGGAGGAUAUCAGGCAGUUUGAGAAAGAAGCACGUUUUCUUUUGCAAUCAAAGAGAAAAACAGCUCAAGAGACUCUUGGGUUGGUAAAAAUAGCACGAGGUCUGAUCAAGGCAACGAGAGAGGAUUUUAAAAUCCUGAUUACAAUAGCAGGAAUGCCGACAGAGACCUGAUGGAAAUUCAGGAACACAGCUGCCCACAUCUGUUUGGAGUUGACAUAUAUUUAGGUUCACAAUCAUAAAGAUUGUGCUAAUUGCAGGAUUCUUAUUCACUGGUAGUUAUGUUUACUUUUACACUUCUAUACCUGUAAACUAUAAUAUAAUCCUCCUUGAGGAUUCUUCCUCAUGUCGACCCCUUACCAGUGUUAACUUUAAAUCUAUAUCCAAGUACCUGUAAAGCUGCUUUUUGACAGUGUCAGUUGCUAAAUCUGCUCUAAAAAAUGGACUUGGUUUAUUUCACAAAUCCUGUACAAACUAAUGUUCCAUUCAAGCCUUGGUGUAUAUCCCACACAUUCAGUGUGAAGUUAAAUAAACCCUUUGAUCCA